rnacentral:rRNA from 1 species
UACGAAGGGGCAGUAGUCGUUGAUUGAUUGUGCGUAAAGCGCGUGUAGGCGGCUUUGCAAGUCGGAUGUGAAAGCCCUCGGCUCAACCGAGGAAGUGCGUUCGAAACUGCAGAGCUUGAGUGCCGGAGAGGGUGGCGGAAUUCCCCAAGUAGAGGUGAAAUUCGUAGAUAUGGGGAGGAACACCGGUGGCGAAGGCGGCCACCUGGACGGUCACUGACGCUGAGACGCGAAAGCGUGGGUAGCAAACAGG